CCGGAAGUCAGCUGCGCUCAGGUCAGCUCUCCUGCUCUGGGGCUUUAACCAAAGCAACGCGGAGUUCUUCUCUCGGGAUGGAAAACAAAUUCCUUGGAAUACCGGUCAGCUUGCUCACCGGCAGCUGUCUCCAGUCUCACCUCCGGAGCAGAAUGCCCUUCUGACGUUCCCGAGAACACACCAAAGGCCACUUCUGCAGACUUGGAAACACUGACUGUCUUCUACACUAGCACUACCCAAUGGGAACCUGUGCCCAAGGCAGACAGACCCCACACCGAGGCCUGCUAUGCCUUCUUGCUUUACGGUCUCCUCUUUUCCUCCUUCUCCGCCUCCUCUCCCAGGGUCCCAUGUAGCUCAGGUUUGCCUCCAAUUUUGCUUCGUGGGUAAGGAUAACUUUGAACCCCUUAUCUUCCUCCUGCUGUCUCCCAUGCAGUUGGCUGAGGGGCAUGCCCCCUGCACAUUUUCAUGCAGAUUUUGGACCACAAGAGUUUGUAAUUUUCUAAUGUAGUUUUUGUGAGAGAAGAUUCAAGGGCAUUAAAAAAAAAAAAA
rnacentral:lncRNA from 1 species